GGGGGCGCAACGGUUUCGACGGGAUUGGAUCGUUGUGUGAAGGCGUGCCGGGUUCCGAGCUCCCGUAAAACGAUCGGAAAACAAAUAACUGCCAAUCAGCAGUUUGCUUACGCUGCCUAAUUAGUUAGGUAGCCGUCCCGGCUGGCGAGCCUGCGCGUUAGCCAAGGGGCGUCAUUUUGCAGGAUAGGCGCCAGGCUUCGGUCCGUAGCCGUGGGCCGAGAUUAAUCGGACUAAGCGGCUCUCGCUUUUGCCGGUUCUUUAGGGAGUCGCUGAAACGCCAGAAUCGGAUACGCACGUAGGCUUUGCACGGCGGGCUUUCUCGGACGCGGGUUCGACUCCCGCCGCCUCCACCA
rnacentral:tmRNA from 1 species